rnacentral:lncRNA from 1 species
GAACCUGAUCCUCGGUAGCGAAGGGCUGGAGGCAAACACCGAGCUCCCCCUGAGCCGCCUGGGAGCAGGGAGGGUUCUGCUACCCUGAGGGGCCCUCCCCGCGGGGCAGAGGAGGCUGUUGGGAAGGUGGGAUGACCUAGGAUUGACCUUGGACUUGACAUCACAGAAGCCAUUUCAACCUUCACAGGGUUUCCUCAGCAGUGCCCCGGAGCAGGGACCGCGCCAGCCAGCAGAAACAGCUAGUUGUUGUCUGCAGUGAAGAAUAAUUGGAAGCAUGGUGCCUGUUUCUUUUCCUCUCAUCCUCGUCUACGGCCAAACGUUGGUUUCUCAUUUCUAGAAGAUGAAAGAUGUGAUGACUCAGGAAAAACUUGCUGCUCGAGAUGUGAGUCUUCAGAUGUUCCUGCCGCCAUAUCUGACAGCUGCUGCCAAGAUUCCCUGGUGGGAUGGACUCUUAUACCUCAACAACCAGAAGCCCAAGUAAACUCUUCUAUAAAUUGAAUGACUCAUGCUUAAAAAAAAAAACAAAAAACAAACUA